CAGGGUUCAGGAAGCCUCUUGGUCCGCAACAUCCCACUGAGCUGCAGGCCGGAGGAUCUACGGGUUCCUUUUGAAAGGUUUGGUCCUGUUCGGGAUGUGUACCUGCCAAAGGAUUAUUACACCAGAGUCUUGUCCGAAUGAAGAAGUUCUUCUAUGAAGACAAAGAUUUG